rnacentral:rRNA from 1 species
AACGAACGCUGGCGGCAGGCCUAACACAUGCAAGUCGAGCGCCUCAGCAAUGGGGAGCGGCAGACGGGUGAGUAACGCGUGGGUAUCUACCUAGUGGUACGGAAUAGCCCAGGGAAACUUGGAGUAAUACCGUAUAAGCCCGAAAGGGGAAAGAUUUAUCGCCAUUAGAUGAGCCCGCGUUGGAUUAGCUAGUUGGUGGGGUAACGGCCCACCAAGGCGACGAUCCAUAGCUGGUUUGAGAGAAUGACCAGCCACACUGGGACUGAGACACGGCCCAGACUCCUACGGGAGGCAGCAGUGGGGAAUCUUGGACAAUGGGCGAGAGCCUGAUCCAGCCAUGCCGCGUGAGUGACGAAGGUCUUCGGAUUGUAAAGCUCUUUUGGCGGGGACGAUAAUGACGGUACCCGCAGAAUAAGCCCCGGCUAACUUCGUGCCAGCAGCCGCGGUAAUAC